ACCAGUUUAGUGGUUAAUCGAAACUAGUCACAGACGUGUUAACAUUGUAUGUUGAAUAUGAUGAUGUGCUUAUUUAUGUGUUCGUCUCAUUGACCUUGAUGCGAACGUCAGAUUCGUAGGUAAGUCCCGGCCGAAACCCUCAUAUAGUUCUGGUCAACUUUACCGCCCCUCAUGCGAGUGUUUAAAGCUCCCCAGUAAGCUCGGUUCUCCGUACAAACGUAGUUACGCUUUCAUUUUAAAACGACUAGCUAGAUUGCUCUGAAACUUUGUACUUACAAUAGGAUAAGGUAUAUCUAGUCCUGUAAUCAGUUUAUGUAGCUUCAGAAUACCAUAGUUAAAAAAAUACAGCGAAUUUAAGUAUUUCAUACUAAACUUGUUUUUGCUCUAUUUAGUUUUAUAGGCUGGAAUGCCUGGAACUAUAUAAACCAAUUACAGGACUCAACCUCAUGACAUUGUAUGUGCAAAGUUUCAUUACAAUCCAACACGUAGUUUUAAAAUGAGAACGAAACUCCAUUUGUAUGGGAAGAUGAAAUUUGGCUGAUCUUGCCGAUUACUCCUAAAAGUAAAAGAGUCUUUGCAAGUCAUAUCAGAGCUCACGCUCGAAAUUAGCCAGGGUCACAGUUGCCGAACACCAUAAUAAGAGCGGUGCGAGGAUGUGGAGCGUUGUGAAUGUUUCUACUAGAGAUGUGUGAGGCAGCUGAGCGGUGGAGGAUGUGGAGCAUUGUGAAUGUUUCUACUAGAGAUUUGCGAGCUAGCUGAGCGGUGGAGGAUGUGGAGCAUUGUGAAUGUUUCUACUAGAGAUGUGCGAGGUAGCUGAGCGGUGGGAGGAUGUGGAGCGUUGUGAAUGUUUCUACUAGAGAUGUGCGAGGUAGCUGAGCGGUGGAGGAUGUGGAGCAUUGUGAAUGUUUCUACUAGAGAUUUGCGAGCUAGCUGAGCGGUGGAGGAUGUGGAGCAUUGUGAAUGUUUCUACUAUAGAUGUGCGAGGUAGCUGAGCGGUGGGAGGAUGUGGAGCGUUGUGAAUGUUUCUACUAGAGAUGUGCGAGGUAGCUGAGCGGUGGGAGGAUGUGGAGCGUUGUGAAUGUUUCUAUUAGAGAUGUGCGAGGUAGCUGAGCGGUGGGAGGAUGUGGAGCGUUGUGAAUGUUUCUAUUAGAGAUGUGCGAGGUAGCUGAGCGGUGGGAGGAUGUGGAGCGUUGUGAAUGUUUCUAUUAGAGAUGUGCGAGGUAGCUGAGCGGUGGGAGGAUGUGGAGCGUUGUGAAUGUUUCUACUAGAGAUGUGCGAGGUCCUGUUUCACAACGUCCAAAUAACGUUCUGGAUAAGCUACUUGCCAAUCCUCUGACGAAUAAAGUCAUCGUUGGCGUUUCACAAUCUUCAAAUAAGCUUAACUGGUAGGUAAAGUGAUAAGUUUUAUCAGGCAGUUAAUUUAUUUGUUAAUAAGCUAUCCGAUACUUUAUUUGGACAUUGUGAAACAGGCCCUUAAAGGGCUCGUGAAAAUACCACUAAAUAAUAUAAUAAUAAUAAUAAAUAAUAAUAAUAAAACCGCAGGGCAGCUUGUGGCGAGCUGUUGGGGAGUAACGACCCCACGGACCCGAGUACUCCCGAGAGUCGGUCAGGGUCUCCGUCUUCG